UGGGGAAUCUUGCACAAUGGAGGAAACUCUGAUGCAGCGACGCCGCGUGAGCGAUGAAGCCCUUCGGGGUGUAAAGCUCUUUCGACGGGAACGAUAAUGACGGUACCCGGAGAAGAAGCUGCGGCUAACUACGUGCCAGCAGCCGCGGUAAUACGUAGGCAGCAAACGUUGUUCGGAAUUACUGGGCGUAAAGAGUGUGUAGGCGGUUUUGCAAGUUUGGUGUGAAAUCUCCCGGCUUAACUGGGAGGGUGCGCCGAAAACUGCAAGGCUCGAGUACUGGAGAGGAAAGCGGAAUUCCUGGUGUAGCGGUGAAAUGCGUAGAUAUCAGGAGGAACACCGGUGGUGUAGACGGCUUUCUGAACAGUCACUGACGCUGAGACACGAAAGCGUGGGGAGCAAACA
rnacentral:rRNA from 1 species